UUAAAAAGCUCGUAGUUGGAUUUCGGGAUGGGCCAGUCGGUCCGCCUAACGGUGUGUUUACUGGCUGGUCUGUUCUUCUUCGCAAAGACUGCGUGUGCACUUUACUGUGUGUGCGUAGGAUUUACGACGUUUACUUUGAAAAAAUUAGAGUGUUCAAAGCAGGCAUACCGCUUGAAUACAUGAGCAUGGAAUAAUGGAAUAGGACUUUGGUCUUAUUUUGUUGGUUUCUGAGACCGAAGUAAUGAUUAAGAGGGACAGUUGGGGGCAUUCGUAUUUCGUUGUCAGAGGUGAAAUUCUUGGAUUUACGAAAGACGAACAAUUGCGAAAGCAUUUGCCAAGAAUGUUUUCAUUAAUCAAGAACGAAAGUUAGAGGAUCGAAGACGAUCAGAUACCGUCCUAGUUCUAACCAUAAACGAUGUCGACUAGGGAUCAGCGAACGUCUAAUGCGACUUCGUUGGCACCUUACGGGAAACCAAAGUUUUUGGAUUCCGGGGGAAGUAUGGUUGCAAAACUGAAACUUAAAGGAAUUGACGGAAGGGCACCACCAGGAGUGGAGCCUGCGGCUUAAUUUGACUCAACACGGGAAAACCUCACCAGGGUCCA
rnacentral:rRNA from 1 species